CGCGGGGUAGAGCAGUUUGGUAGCUCGCAAGGCUCAUAACCUUGAGGUCACGGGUUCAAAUCCCGUCCCCGCAA
rnacentral:tRNA from 113 species